rnacentral:hammerhead_ribozyme from 1 species
ACUGGAUGACGAGUCCAAAAUGGGACGAAAUGAGCAUCCUGGAU